rnacentral:rRNA from 1 species
GGCCAAGCUAAUAAGGGUGUACGAUGGAUGCCCUGGCGAAGACUGGCGAUGAAGGGCGUGGCAAGCUGCGAUAAGCCCCGGUGAGGUGCAAGCAACCUGUGAUCCGGGGAUUCCCGAAUGGGGCAACCCAUCCACCGCGAGGUGGAUAUCCUGUCGCAAGGCAGGAGGCGAACCGAGGGAAGUGAACCAUCUCAGUACCUGGAGGAAAAGAAAAAAAUUUGAUUCCCUGAGUAGCGGCGAGCGAAAGGGGAACAGCCCAAACCGAAUGAUGUUAUAGCAUAGCCGCGUUCAUCAUUCGGGGUUGCAGGACCUGGCAUGGAAGUGGCUAUACUUCCAGCAUGACACAACCUUUUGGGUUAGCCGAAUGAUCUGGAAAGAUCAGCCAUAGAAGGUGAAAGCCCUGUAAGCGAAAACUCAAAAGGCAUGCGUCAGGCACCUGAGUACCACGGAGGAACCGAGGAGCUCUGUGGGAAUCCGCCACGACCACGUGGCAAGGCUAAAUACAUGUCUUCGACCGAUAGUGAACCAGUACCGUGAGGGAAAGGUGAAAAGAACCCCGGGAGGGGAGUGAAAUAGAACCUGAAAUCGUGCACCUACAAGCAGUCGGAGUCUGCUACUUUUGUAGCGGAUGACGGCGUGCCUAUUGAAGAAUGAGCCAGCGAGUUACUGGCGGUAGCAAGGUUAAUCCACUUAAGUGGAGGAGCCGCAGCGAAAGCGAGUGGUGCUAACAGCGCCCGUUAGUUACCGUUAGUAGACCCGAAGCCAGGUGAUCUAUCCAUGGGCAGGAUGAACCCUUCGUAACAGAAGGGGGAGGUCCGAACCGGUGACAGUUGCAAAUGUCUCGGAUGACCUGUGGAUGGGAGUGAAAGGCUAAUCAAACCUGGUUAUUGCUGGUUCUCCCCGAAAUGACUUUAGGGUCAGCCUCGGUUUAUAAAAUUGCGGAGGUAAAGCACUGACUGGGCAAGGUUUGAUUCCAUCAGACCAAGUCCUAUCAAACUCUGAAUUCCGCAAUUUGUUCACCGGGAGUGAGACUGUGAGGGCUAAGCUUCAUAGUCAAAAGGGACUCAGCCCAGACCAUCAGCUAAGGCCCCUAAAUCCAGACUAAGUGUCGAAGGAUGUGGGGUUGCAUAGACAACCAGGAGGUUGGCUUAGAAGCAGCCAUCCUUUAAAGAAAGCGUAACAGCUCACUGGUCGAUGUGAUCCUGCGCCUAAAAUUCAACGGGGCUCAAGUCUGGUGCCGAAGCUAUGGUUCAAUCAGCGCAUAGUUGAUUGAAGGUAGGGGAGCAUUCCCUGUGGUUGAAGCCGUUUCGUAAGGAACGGUAGACGUCAGGGAAGAGAGAAUGCUGGCAUGAGUAGCGAAAAUUCCGAUGAGAAUUCGGAACGCCGAAAGUCCAAGGUUUCCUGGGGAAGGUUCGUCCGCCCAGGGUUAGGCGGGAGCUAAGCCGAGGCCGAAAGGCGUAGGUGAUGCACAGCCGGUUAAUAUUCCGGCCCUAUCUGGUAUGCGUUAUUACCGAAGGGGGGACGGAGCGCAAUAGAACAUCCGGUUUCUGGAUAUGCCGGUUCAAUGUGGGAUGCUGAACCUGUGGUAAAUCCAUUGGUUCUUAAGGCAGAACACAGAGUACGAGUCUUUUCGCAAGGAAAGGCGAAGUGUUCGAGUUGCGCUUCCAAGAAAAUCCUCGCAGGGAGUAUAUCAGAUACCCGUACCGGAAACCGACACAGGUGGACUGGGAGAAUAUCCUAAGGCGCGCGAGUGAGCCCUUGCUAAGGAACUCGGCAAAAUAACCCCGUAACUUCGGAAGAAGGGGUGCCUGAGUAUGCCCAGAUUUAACCAUAAUCUGGGUUGAAAAGGCCGCAGUGAAAUGGAUGCCACGACUGUUUACCAAAAACACAGGACUCUGCAAACUCGAAAGAGGAUGUAUAGGGUCUGACAAGUGCCCGGUGCCGGAAGGUUACGGAGAGGUGUUAUCUGCCGCAAGGCGGUGAAGCACUGAACCUAAGCCCCGGUAAACGGCGGCCGUAACUAUAGUAAUGGACCGCUGUAGUUACGUAAAAAAAUCUGGCUAUAUGCUGGGAAAUUUCGUUAUUCCUGAACUACUCGUCACAUAAAGGUGGCAGUAAAAAUGUUCAGGUAGAAAUAAUCAGCAGGAAAGAUCAAAUUUCCUCAGGGAGAAAUUAUGAGCUACAAAGUUAAAAAUAUUCCUCCCAGUAUCGGAUAUUACCUUGCAGGUUUUGCUGACGGUGAAGGCAGUUUUAAUAUAGCUUUCAGGAAAAGGGAUGAUUAUGCUCACAGAUGGAAAAUCUCACCCUGUUUUAGUAUAUCUCAAAGAGACCCGGUUAUACUUUCUUUGUUUAAGAAACAUCUUAAAUGCGGGACUAUGCGACAACGACAGGAUGGAAUAUGGUAUUACGAGGUAAACAACCUGAAUUCCCUUUGUGAGAAUAUAAUCCCUUUCUUUGAACGUUUUGGCUUUCUGUCAGCUAAGAAAAAAAAAGACUUUUC